rnacentral:rRNA from 1 species
UGGGGAAUAUUGGACAAUGGGCGCAAGCCUGAUCCAGCAAUGCCGCGUGAGCGAUGAAGGCCUUAGGGUUGUAAAGCUCUUUCAGCUGGGAAGAUAAUGACGGUACCAGCAGAAGAAGCCCCGGCUAACUCCGUGCCAGCAGCCGCGGUAAUACGGAGGGGGCUAGCGUUGUUCGGAAUUACUGGGCGUAAAGCGCACGUAGGCGGAUUAGUCAGUCAGAGGUGAAAUCCCAGGGCUCAACCCUGGAACUGCCUUUGAUACUGCUAGUCUUGAGGUCGAGAGAGGUGAGUGGAAUUCCGAGUGUAGAGGUGAAAUUCGUAGAUAUUCGGAGGAACACCAGUGGCGAAGGCGGCUCACUGGCUCGAUACUGACGCUGAGGUGCGAAAGCGUGGGGAGCAAAACAGGAUUAGAUACCCUGGUAGUCCACGCCGUAAACGAUGAAUGCCAGUCGUCGGGUUGCAUGCAAUUCGGUGACACACCUAACGGAUUAAGCAUUCCGCCUGGGGGAGUACGGUCGCAAGAUUAAAACUUAAAUGAAUUGACGGGGGUCAUAGCUGUUUCCUG